rnacentral:rRNA from 1 species
AACGAACGCUGGCGGCAGGCCUAACACAUGCAAGUCGAGCGCACCCUUCGGGGCGAGCGGCGGACGGGUUAGUAACGCGUGGGAAUGUACCCUUCUCUACGGAAUAGCCAUUGGAAACGAUGAGUAAUACCGUAUACGCCUCGGGGAAGAUUAUCGAGAAGGAUCAGCCGCGUUAGAUUAGAUAGUUGGUGGGGUAAGUGGCCUACCAAGUCUACGAUCUAUAGCUGGUUUUAGAGGAUGAUCAGCAACACUGGGACUGAGACACGGCCCAGACUCCUACGGGAGGCAGCAGUGGGAAUCUUAGACAAUGGGCGCAAGCCUGAUCUAGCCAUGCCGCGUGAGUGAUGAAGGCCUUAGGGUCGUAAAGCUCUUUCGCCAGGGAUGAUAAUGACAGUACCUGGUAAAGAAACCCGCUAACUCCGUGCCAGCAGCCGCGGUAAU